GUGACACCGGGCCGGCUUUGGGUUUACCCGUUAUGGGUAUAAUGAGCGCCAGCUGAAGCAAAUAACGAGCGCUUCAUUGAAGCAUCUGCCCGGGAAAAAGGAGGAUAAAAGAGAGAGGCUGGAAGGACAGAGGGUGUGUGCCUGGAGAGAGAAGACGUUCUGAGUAGUGUGCAGCAGUGACAGUGAGCAGCGGAAAGGGCGGAAAAGCUGAGGUUUAAUGUCAGAUCGGUGUUCAUUGUUGGGUCCCCCGAGGCAUGCUCAUUAAGUGAGUCCUUUGAAGAAACCACGAACAGCACCGCAACGGAGUGAGUGAGAGAAAUUGCAUGGAGAAAGAAGGAGAGUGACUGGCAGAACAGAGAGUGGGAAUACGCCACAAGGAUUCAUGUGAUUCACCGAGGAAAAGUUAAGUGCACCCUUUAUUGAUUCACUUCUCUGAGAAAACCACAUGUGAAGAUUCACCAGCACCAGUGUACGACUAACCUGUGUUUGUGGGCAGUGUGUGUCAUCUUGUUGACAGUGAGGAACAGUAACUGUGAACGGCUGGGAAGAUCGCUGAAUCCAUGUCCAUGUUCUGAACACCAUUAAUCCUUGAGACAUCCACCCUAUGAAGAGAAGAGAAACAAGUUGCUUAACUGCUGUGAAGAGAGAGUGAGUUUGCAGUGUCUGAGAGUGAUUUAAACACGUGUGAAGCUUUACAAGAGUGAUUUAUGCACAAGUGUGCUGUGUCUAGAUCCCUGAAGUUGUGCGCGCAGUGCGGAGGAGAGAAUCCCAGUGCACUUAAAGUGCCACAGUUCACGUAACGCUGUGUUCCAUCAAAGGAGGCCAGUCCCACUCUUUCUCCCAACGACGCCGUUCUACCAUGCACAGAACGAGAGCGUAGGCUGGUAAAGUACCCCGAUUUCAUCUUACCUGCUAAUGUCCGUCUCACUGUCCAUUUGUCUGUUCCUGUAAGGAAGCCAAGAAAAAGCAGUUACUGCUGGAAGUGGAGUGGUAGCUCCACGAGCACGACAACGAAGCCGAACGAGGGAAGCCACUGUCUGUCCCACGAGCAGCCUAGAGAAGAAUAUACUUACCAAGAGCACGGGAAUAGUACCUACCAGCACCCCUCUCCCCUCUCUUCAUUAAAGCCACAGCCACGACCAUCCCCCCUCCCCCUCCCCCUGCUUUUAUCCCUUUUAACCUAAAUAAAAACUUGCCUUUUAACUUUA